CCUACGGGUGGCAGCAGUGAGGAAUAUUGGUCAAUGGGCGCGAGCCUGAACCAGCCAAGUAGCGUGAAGGAUUACUGCCCUACGGGUUGUAAACUUCUUUUAUAAAGGAAUAAAGUGAGGCACGUGUGCCUUUUUGUAUGUAUUUUAUGAAUAAGGAUCGGCUACCUCCUUGCCAGCGGCGUCGUAAAUACGGAGGAUCCGAGCGUUAUCCGGAUUUAUUGGGUUUAAAGGGAGCGUAGAUGGGUUGUUAAGUCAGUUGUGAAAGUUUGCGGCUCAACCGUAAAAUUGCAAUGGAUACUGGCAGCCUUGAGUACAGUUGAGGUAGGCGGAAUGCGUGGUGUAGCGGUGAAAUGCUUAGAUAUCACGAAGAACCCCGAUUGCGAAGGCAGCCUACUAAACUGCCACUGACAUUGAUGCUCGAAAGUGUGGGUAUCAAACAGGAUUAGAUACCCUUGUAGUC
rnacentral:rRNA from 1 species